GACGAACGCUGGCGGCGUGCUUAACACAUGCAAGUCGAACGGAAAGGCCUGCUUUCCCUUGUGGAUUGCGGGUACUCGAGUGGCGAACGGGUGAGUAACACGUGAGUGAUCUGCCCCCAACUUGGGUAUAAGCCUGGGAAACUGGGUCUAAUUCCCGAUAGGACUGCAGGGUGGUGCCUGUGGUGGAAAACGAUUUUCUAGUGGUUGGAGAUGAGCUCGCGGCCUAUCAGCUUGUUGGUGGGGUAAUGGCCUACCAAGGCGGCGACGGGUAGCCGGCCUGAGAGGGUGGACGGCCACAUUGGGACUGAGAUACGGCCCAGACUCCUACGGGAGGCAGCAGUGGGGAAUAUUGCACAAUGGGCGGAAGCCUGAUGCAGCGACGCCGCGUGGGGGAUGACGGCCUUCGGGUUGUAAACUCCUUUCGACCGCGAGGAAGCCACCUGGUUGGAAGGGUGGUGACGGUAGUGGUAGAAGAAGCACCGGCUAACUACGUG
rnacentral:rRNA from 1 species